CCAAAUCGGGCCUGGCAUCUCCAUGUCUCUCUUUCCCUCACCCUCCUUCUCGACCUACGGCCGCCGCCGCAGCCAGGCCAGCGUGGCGGCGCGCCAACCAGUACCUCCACCACUCCACCACGCACCACCAGCACCACCAUCCAUCAUCCACACGCCUCCACCAGUGCCCACCUCGCGCGCCCCUCUUGCUGCUUCCUCUCUGAACCUGCUGCUGCUGCAUCUUCCUUCUUCUUGCGCCGAUCUGCUGCUGCUCUGCUUCCUCCACUCCUCCUGCUACUCCUUCUUUUCCCCGUGAUCUGCUGCUGCUCCUUCUUCUACUGCGCUCCCUUGCUGAUCUCUCACCGCUGCUAUUCCUCCCCUCAUCACGCUGCUGCUUCCUUCUUCUCCUGCCGCUGCUCUCUUCUUCCCUCGCCUCUAGUUGCUGCUCCUAGAAUUGUCUGAACCUCAAUUUGCUGCCGCUUAUACCACAAAACAGCUGCUGCUCUCUCUCAAUCUCUCUCUCUCUCUCUCUCUCUCUCUCACACUCUCUGAUCUCGAAUGUCUGUACUCUUGAGAAGUGUGAUGUUAAGUACUUUGUAAUGUUCAGAUAUGUUAGGUGUUAGUACUAUUGUUUAGUUUCAGACUUGUGCCUGUGUGAAAAUUAGUUGAAUCCAUUCCCUGUAUACUUGGUUGUUGUAGAAACUUGUUCAGUUUGUAGUAUCUGUGAUUUAUAUAUAAUGUUGUGGUGUUCAACAGUUUUGGCCAUGUCCCAUUAUCUUAGUUUUGUCCUUUUCUUAUAUGCUAUAUAGAUGUGAUCUUACCCUGCUAUUUCCCUUUCGCCGUUGUUGAUCUUCUGUGUUAGAAUCUUAUUUUCUCAAGAAUUGUGAAAAUAUCAAAAAGAUAGUGAACAAUAUCUUAACCUUUCCUAUACUUGUUUGUUUCUUCCUUUCUCUAUAAUCUUCGGUAACAACUUUGUUUAGUUUAGGUUUAUGUUUCCUUGCAAUCAUCGUCUAUAUUCUGUCACCUAGCUUUAGCCGAGCAUUGUUGCCGUCGCCUAGUCCCUGUGGAGAACAUGACAAUUGCAGAUUUGGGCGAAAUACCCCACUGUCUUUACAAAUGAUCAUUUUGGCACCAUUGCCGGGGACUAGCGUCGUGCGACCGUGUUAGGCUAUAGACUAGGUUUUGCUUUUGUUUCUAUCUAGUGCCAUAUAUUUGUGAUAUAUCUCUUACCCCUAACCACUGUUCUAGUUAUCUUCUCUUUAUUUUCUUGUUCAUUUUGCAGGUUGAAUUGUCUUCUUCGAAAUGGCAUUCUACUCAGAUCAUCAUGCUUAUGCGAGCAACACUACAAAUAGCACGGAAAGUAUUCAAUAACUGAUAAGUAAGAUUUCCCAUCAAUUAGAUGAUUUAGCUCGGCAGCGAGAAGUAGUUUUUGAGGAUAGGCCUAGCUCUUAUGAUCCUUAUUCUAGAGGUCAUCCUUAUGUUGCUCCUACAUGCCAUAUUUGUGGAUUUCAGGGCCAUUCACUCGCUGAAUGUCAGCGUGGUUACUCUCCCCCUCCUGAUUGUUAUGGCAUGAGCUUCGCCCCACAACCUAGCUCAUACCAAAAUAAUUACUCAUAUGGGUGGCCUGAAAACCAGAAUAUGUCAUAUAGGAGCAACAACCCUGAGAUCUCAUCGUUUGCCUCUAGUUAUCCAUUGCAGGGAUUUAGGUAUGAAGGGGAGAGCCACAACUAUGCACCACAACAGUUUUAUUCACCUCCUACUCAUAUACCACAGCACCAGCAGAUCUGUCCAAUGGAGUUAAAUGGUCCUCCAUUUGGUCAACCAAC
rnacentral:lncRNA from 1 species